rnacentral:rRNA from 1 species
UACGUAGGGGGCGAGCGUUGUCCGGAAUUACUGGGCGUAAAGAGCUCGUAGGUGGUUUGUCGCGUUGACCGUGAAAACUCACAACUCAAUUGUGGGCGUGCGGGCGAUACGGGCAGACUGGAGUACUGCAGGGGAGACUGGAAUUCCUGGUGUAGCGGUGGAAUGCGCAGAUAUCCGGAGGAACACCGGUGGCGAAGGCGGCUUCCUGGACCGACACUGACGCUGAGGCGCGAAAGCUAGGGGAGCAAACGGG